rnacentral:rRNA from 1 species
UGGGGAAUUUUGGACAAUGGGGGAAACCCUGAUCCAGCCAUCCCGCGUGUGCGAUGAAGGCCUUCGGGUUGUAAAGCACUUUUGGCAGGAAAGAAACGUCGCGGGUUAAUACCCCGCGAAACUGACGGUACCUGCAGAAUAAGCACCGGCUAACUACGUGCCAGCAGCCGCGGUAAUACGUAGGGUGCAAGCGUUAAUCGGAAUUACUGGGCGUAAAGCGUGCGCAGGCGGUUCGGAAAGAAAGAUGUGAAAUCCCAGAGCUUAACUUUGGAACUGCAUUUUUAACUACCGGGCUAGAGUGUGUCAGAGGGAGGUGGAAUUCCGCGUGUAGCAGUGAAAUGCGUAGAUAUGCGGAGGAACACCGAUGGCGAAGGCAGCCUCCUGGGAUAACACUGACGCUCAUGCACGAAAGCGUGGGGAGCAAACAGGAUUAGAUACCCUGGUAGUCCACGCCCUAAACGAUGUCAACUAGCUGUUGGGGCCUUCGGGCCUUGGUAGCGCAGCUAACGCGUGAAGUUGACCGCCUGGGGAGUACGGUCGCAAGAUUAAAACUUAAAGGAA